GACGAACGCUGGCGGCGUGCUUAACACAUGCAAGUCGAACGGAAAGGCCCUGCUUUUGUGGGGUGCUCGAGUGGCGAAGGGGUGUGUAACACGUGAGUAACCUGCCCUUGUCUUUGGGGUAACUUUAGGAAAAUGGGGCUAAUACCGGAUAGGAGAUCCUGCUGCAUGGUGGGGGUUGGUAAGUUUCGGCGGUUGGGGCUGGAUUCGCGGCUUACGAGCUUGUUUGGGAGGUUGUGGCUUACCAAGGGUUCGAAGGGUAGCCGACCUGAGAGGGUGACCGGCCACAUUAGGACUACGGUACGGACCAGACUCCUACGGUAGGCAGCAGUGGAGAAUAUUGCACAAUGGGCGGGAGCCUGAUGCAACAACGCCGCGUGCGUGAAAACGUCCUUCGGGUUGUAAACCACUUUCGCCUGUAACGAAGCGUGAGUGACGGUAAUGAGUAAAGAAGCACCGGCUAACUACGUG
rnacentral:rRNA from 1 species